rnacentral:tRNA from 1 species
GCGCCGGUGAUGUAACGGAGCAUUCGCGCCCGAUCAGCAGGAGGUGCGGGUUCGAGUCCCGCCUGGCGCA